AAUAAUGAAAGCCAGUUUAAACAAAGUGAGACACCAAAUGAUGAAGAUGAAAUUCUCAUUGUGACAGAAAACAUGACAACAAAAGAAAAAAAACCAGUACUGCUAAAGCUACAUAAACAAUUUGGACAUGCCUCAGUUGACAGACUACAAAAGCUCUUGUCUUGCUCAGGCAACACUGAUGAUGAAAGCAUUACAAUCCUGAAGGAAAUUGUAAAAAACUGUGAAAUAUGCAUCCGGUACAGUAGAGCAAAACCUAAACCUGCAGUGGGUUUACCCAUGGCUUCAACGUAUAAUGAAACUGUAGCUGUGGACCUACAUGAGCUUGAGCCAGGUUUGUGGUAUCUACAUGCCAUCGACCAUUUUACAAGAUUCAGUGCAGGGAGCAUUAUCACCACAAAAAGACCCAAAGAGAUAGUGAAGCACUUUAUUCACUGCUGGAUAAGCGUUCAUGGCCCACCACGCAGAUUAGUCACUGACAAUGGAGGUGAAUUUAACAAUGAAGAAAUAAGAGACAUGGCUGAACAUUUUAACAUUGAGGUUAAAGCCACUGCUGGAUACAGUCCAUGGAGCAACGGCCUACUGGAAAGACACAAUCACAAUGCUACUUAAUGUAAAGAAAGACAACAAAUGUGACUGGAAAAUGUAAAAAAACAAACAAAAAAAAAAACAGGAUGCACAAUGUACACGGCUACAUUUUCAGGGUGGCAGGCUGAUGGGAUCCAGCUGGUGCUCAUCAUCUCCAAUCAGCAAGGGCCUUAAAUAGGAGCGGCUUCCCGGAAGAAGAUGCCAGAUGGUUCUGCUUCUACAGUGAACCAGCUCUGACUGCUCUCCAAGAUUCAGAUCCACCUGGACUACCUGACCCUCGCUGUUUUGCUAGGCCUAGCCCCAGGAUUCCUCCACAACCACCAGCCUGCUACUGCCUGUCCACCCUCAGUUGCCUGCUGGAACUCCUCCACCUGGAAACCCCUCACUGCCCCAACUGCUGUACCCUCCUCUGCUCAUCUGAACCCUCAAACCUUCCUCCUCUGGCCCGGUUCCACCCUGCUGCCGCUGAUCUAUACCUCUCCAUCCUCCCUCCAUUUACACCUUAUUGUUUAAUAAAUCU